GGCCACCUGAUGCAAAGAACUGACUCACUGGAAAAGACCCUGAUGCUGGGAAGGAUUGAGGGUCAGAGAGACACCUGUGAGAGGCACUUGAUCUUCAGCCACUGAAUCUGGCUUUGAAGACUGAGUGAGGGACCAUCAGCUAAGGAUUUCAGUGGCUUCCAGAAGCCGGGAACGGCUCUUAACUGACAGCUGGUUUAUAAAAAGGCAAGCUAUCGUUUCAUGAAAAAUAUCUUGCACCGAUUGAAUACAGGUGGCUGCUUGUUUGGACUUUGAAGAUGUAAAGGCUUCGUAUAGAUGUCUGAAAAAGGUCAUCACAGAGGACUGACCCGCAAGUCUUUCAAGGUCUAUUUCUAAUUGCUACUUAGUGAAACCUGCCUGAGAACUUCUGCCUUCAUCAAACUCUACUUCCUGGGCAGCCAUGCACUUAUUAGCUGCAUUGGUGACAUAGACACAAUUAUUGUGGAGCUGAUUCCAUGCAGCUUAGCACAGCGUUACAUAGCAUUUAAAAGUUUUCCUUGCAUGUAAUUAUUCUCUCUGCAGUAAGUUUCUAAGGUGUCUGAAGACAGGUAUGUCAUGCCUUUUGUUCUGGGUGCCAUGUAUUUUUUGUUGAAUGAAAUAUUUUAUUCAUUCAACUAUCAUUUAUUCAGCUCACUAUAAGCCAAGGAUGGUGCUGAGUAUUGGCACACCAAGCUUUAUUUGUUAUUUAUUAAUUCACUGCAUUUUUGAGUGUCUGACAUCUGUCAGGUGCUUGAUGUACAGGAUUGAAGUAAAUUAAAUUUCUAGUUCUGUAGAUCUUACCUCUUAGAAUGGGGGACGGAUCAUAAAAAAGCAAAUAACAACUAGGUACAUAUUUUUAAAUAGUGAUAAGGGCUAUGAAGAAAAUGAAACAGUAAGGAGAGACGGAGUGUGAGCAUAUGGGGGUGUUUGAGAGAAGAUGUUGAGGAAGGGCCUCUCUCACAAGAUGGCAUUUGAGCAGAGAACUGAGUGAAGUGAGCGACGGAACCAACCAAACAUUCGCCAGGAGAGAGUUCCUGCCAGAGGAAA